CCACAGUACCCACACAGAUAACAACGUGAUGUGUUUGAAGAGGAUACUGUGGAAGGCUCUGCUUCUGGGGAAAACUAAGCUCAAAUAAUGUCAUGAUGCCACCAUUGAAGAGACAGAAAGUGCAGUAACAGAAUCAGUCUUAUCCUUUUGGAGGUGUUUAUCUUGUG